UGGGGAAUCUUCGGCAAUGGGGGCAACCCUGACCGAGCCAUGCCGCGUGAGUGAUGAAGGCCUUAGGGUCGUAAAGCUCUUUCGCCUGGGAUGAUAAUGACAGUACCAGGUAAAGAAACCCCGGCUAACUCCGUGCCAGCAGCCGCGGUAAUACGGAGGGGGUUAGCGUUGUUCGGAAUUACUGGGCGUAAAGCGCGCGUAGGCGGACCAGAAAGUUAGAGGUGAAAUCCCGGGGCUCAACCCCGGAACUGCCUUUAAAACUCCUGGUCUUGAGUUCGAGAGAGGUGAGUGGAAUUCCGAGUGUAGAGGUGAAAUUCGUAGAUAUUCGGAGGAACACCAGUGGCGAAGGCGGCUCACUGGCUCGAUACUGACGCUGAGGUGCGAAAGCGUGGGGAGCAAACAGGAUUAGAUACCCCUGUAGUCC
rnacentral:rRNA from 1 species